UGGGGAAUAUUGCACAAUGGGGGAAACCCUGAUGCAGCGACGCCGCGUGAACGAAGAAGGUAUUCGUAUCGUAAAGUUCUGUCCUAUGGGAAGAUAAUGACAGUACCAUAGAAGAAAGCUCCGGCUAAAUACGUGCCAGCAGCCGCGGUAAUACGUAUGGAGCGAGCGUUGUCCGGAAUUAUUGGGCGUAAAGGGUACGCAGGCGGUUUAAUAAGUCGAAUGUUAAAGAUCGGGGCUCAACCCCGUAAAGCAUUGGAAACUGAUAAACUUGAGUAGUGGAGAAGAAAGUGGAAUUCCUAGUGUAGUGGUGAAAUACGUAGAUAUUAGGAGGAAUACCAGUAGCGAAGGCGACUUUCUGGACACAAACUGACGCUGAGGUACGAAAGCGUGGGGAGCAAACAGG
rnacentral:rRNA from 2 species